rnacentral:rRNA from 1 species
AUUGAACGCUGGCGGCAAGCUUAACACAUGCAAGUCGAGCGGAGAUGAGGUGCUCGCACCUUAUCUUAGCGGCGGACGGGUGAGUAAUGCUUAGGAAUCUGCCUAUUAGUGGGGGACAACAUUCCGAAAGGAAUGCUAAUACCGCAUACGCCCUACGGGGGAAAGCAGGGGAUCUUCGGACCUUGCGCUAAUAGAUGAGCCUAAGUCGGAUUAGCUAGUUGGUGGGGUAAAGGCCUACCAAGGCGACGAUCUGUAGCGGGUCUGAGAGGAUGAUCCGCCACACUGGGACUGAGACACGGCCCAGACUCCUACGGGAGGCAGCAGUGGGGAAUAUUGGACAAUGGGCGGAAGCCUGAUCCAGCCAUGCCGCGUGUGUGAAGAAGGCCUUAUGGCUGUAAAGCACUUUAAGCGAGGAGGAGGCUACUUUAGUUAAUACCUAGAGAUAGUGGACGCUACUCGCAGAAUAAGCACCGGCUAACUCUGUGCCAGCCGCCGCGGUAAUAC